GACGAACGCUGGCGGCGUGCUUAACACAUGCAAGUCGAACGAAGCUUGAUUACGGAUUCUUCGGAUGAAGUAUGAUAUGACUGAGUGGCGGACGGGUGAGUAACGCGUGAGUAACCUGCCCUUCAGAGGGGGAUAGCGUUUGGAAACGAACGGUAAUACCGCAUAAUGUAUUUUGACCGCAUGAUCGACAUACCAAAGAUUUAUCGCUGAAGGAUGGACUCGCGUCUGAUUAGGUAGUUGGUGGGGUAACGGCCUACCAAGCCGACGAUCAGUAGCCGGACUGGGAGGUUGAUCGGCCACAUUGGGACUGAGACACGGCCCAGACACCUACGGGAGGCAGCAGGGGGGAAUAUUGCACAAUGGGCGCAAGCAUGAUGCAGCAACGCAGCGUGAAGAAAGACGGUUUUCGGAUGGUAAACUUCUGUUCUUAGUGAGGAAUAAUGACGGUAGCUAAGAAGCAAGCCACGGCUAACUACGUG
rnacentral:rRNA from 1 species